rnacentral:lncRNA from 1 species
GGAAGACUGAGAACCAACUGAACUACAGGAUUAAAUCAGGUGAAAGUAGGGGAAAAAAGACUUGUUAUGAUCUCAGCAAAAUUGGCCCCUGAAGCCAUGCCAAGCACCUAUAAUUUGUUUCGCUGACAUUGAUCAUACUGAGAAAGAGCAGCUGAUAGCAGUCGAGACAGCAGGGCCAGAUUUAGGGUGAGCCGAGUGAGGCAGGGUCAUGUGAAUGCAGGGUAAAAUCCUCUAUCUUUAUUUAUAUUGUUGAUAUUUUGUUCAUCAUGGAUAGUUGUGUGAAUUUCUACUUUUAAAAUAUUGCAUAAAGGUAUUAUUCAUCUUGAUUUCCAAAGUCUUGGUGCCUCCUUAAGUUUUGCACCUGGAGCACGUGCCUCACUCACUUCAUUCUCAUCCACCACUCAGCUAUACAGUUGGAAAAGCAUGUGAUGAUAUGGACAGCACCUAGUAUAAAGAGAAGCUUGAAAGAAUUUUGAAAAGUCAACUUAAGGUUUACUACUGUCCAAUGAGUGCACAGUGAGGGCACUACUGCUAACGCC